GCGUGAGUGAUGAAGGCCUUAGGGUUGUAAAGCUCUUUUAUCCGGGAAGAUAAUGACUGUACCGGAAGAAUAAGCCCCGGCUAACUUCGUGCCAGCAGCCGCGGUAAUACGAAGGGGGCUAGCGUUGCUCGGAAUCACUGGGCGUAAAGGGCGCGUAGGCGGAUGAUUAAGUCGGAGGUGAAAGCCCAGGGCUCAACCCUGGAAUUGCCUUCGAUACUGAUCGUCUCGAGAGCGGAAGAGGUUAGUGGAACUCCGAGUGUAGAGGUGAAAUUCGU
rnacentral:rRNA from 1 species